GGCUGGGCAAACACAGUAUAUUUCUGAAAUAACCGGAGUGUGGGCUUUGGCAUUAGUCAGUCCUGGUUUCAAAUCCCCAUUCUUCUAUUCACUUGUCACAUGACAUUUGGCAUGUUUUAACCUAUUUGAGUCUUGGUUUUCUUCCUCAUCUACACAAUGAAGGUGCUGACAUCACUCACAGAAUGAAUUCGAGGUUCAAGAUAAGGUGUGUAAAGCACACGACUCAACUCUUUUUCUCUUCUUUUCCUCCAAAGAAUCCCUGUGCCAGCUGGGGCUGCAGUCUGAUCUGGUAGUUAGUUCCACUGGAAGGGGACCCACUUCUAAGCUCACUCCCAUAGGUGCUGGCAGGAUUCGGUUCCUCAAGGGCUGGUGGACCAAGGGCAAUCAGCUGGCUGCUGGCUGGAGGCACCCUCAGGGCCUUGCAGGUCCGUCUCUCCAUAUGGCAGCUUAGGACACAGCAGCUGGCUCCCCGCAGAGCAAGAGAGAGCAACAGAGGACAAAGAAGCUCAAAAGGUAUAAAUACGAAAAACUUCCUGUGUGACUUCACUCAGAGAUUUGGAAGAGACACCUCCCUCUGGGCUGCAUGCAAUAAACGACUCCUAAUUAAUUGGCUCAUUAAGGUUUGAAGAAAAAAGGAAAAAAG